rnacentral:lncRNA from 12 species
AUGAGAGACACAGAGAGGCAGAGACAUAGGCAGAGGGAGAAGCAGGCUCCCUGGGAGGAGCCCGAUGUGGGACUCGAUCCCGGGAUCCCAGGGUCACACCCUGAGCCAUGGGCAGACACUCAACUGUUGGGCCACUCAGGUAUCCCUUGCUGUAGGUUAAUAACUGACUUACUAUAUGGAUUUAAGGGGCAGAUGUUACUACUGUUCUCAUCACACUGGCAGUACCAUCGCCCUUCCAUCAUGGACAGGAAGGAAGAUGAGGGAUCUGGGCCUGUGAGGUCUUGGGUCUUUCAGGGCCGAGAGAGGCCUUCCUCAUGCUCAGGUCCCCUCCUCCUGCGGGGCAGCCACCGUCCCAUGUGCCUUCUGGCCGACUCUCAGGCGAGGUCUUUCAUCGUCCUGCUUCCCAGUUCUGGAAAGGGAGGUGAGCCUGCGCCCAGACAGGUCGACGACGCACACUGGUCACUGAUGCAGAGCAGCCGUCUGGCUUUGUGGAGGAGGGUAUCUGGAGGGAUGUGAAGCCAGUGGUCUACCUUCGAAGAGGAAAAGGUGAAACAGGCCUCCUGAAGGAUUAUCGUAGUUGUUGUGGGAUUAGUUAGACCAGCUCUGUCCACUCCGGCAGCCACUGGCCACAUGUGGUUUUUGAGCACUUAGACUGUGCUACAGCCAAAUCAAGAUGUGCUGCACAAACAUACUGGCUUCUGGGGAUUUAGCACGACAAGAGAACGCAAAAUAUUUCAUUAAUAAUUUUAAGUAUUGAUCCUAUGUUACAAAUAUUAUUUUGGUUACAUUCGACUAAAUACAAUCUGUUAUUAAAAUGAGUUUCACUUGUUCUUCUUUUCUCUCUCUCUCUCCUUUUUUUUUUUUUUAAACUUUUCUUUUACUGCGGCUGCUAGAAACUUCAAAAUCACCCCCUCCCCCACAUCCCCCCGUGACUUCUAUCCCCUUGCCAUUGCUUAGAGCUGGGUCAGCCCCUCAGAACUGUUUUGUACCUCCAACUUUCUGUAGAAACUUGAGUAUUGGGUCGACUGGGUGGGUUGCUCAGUGGUUGGCGCUUGCCUUCUGCUCAGGGCGUGAUCCUGGGGUCCUGGGAUCGAGUCUUGCAUCAGGCUCCCUGCAUGGAGUCUGCUUCUCCCCCUGCCUGUGUCUCUGCCUCUCUCUGUGUGUCCCUCAUGAAUAAAUAAACACAAUCUUUAAAAAACA